UACGAAGGGGGCUAGCGUUGCUCGGAAUGACUGGGAGUAAAGGGCGCGUAGGCGGCCUGGACAGUCGGAUGUGAAAUUCCUGGGCUCAACCUGGGGGCUGCAUCCGAGACGUUUGGGCUGGAGUGAGGAAGAGGGUCGUGGAAUUCCCAGUGUAGAGGUGAAACUCGUAGAUAUUGGGAAGAACACCGGUGGAGAAGGCGGCGACCUGGUCCUUUACUGAUUCUGACGCGCGAAAGCGUGGGGAGCAAACAGG
rnacentral:rRNA from 1 species